rnacentral:rRNA from 1 species
CUGCUGCCUCCCGUAGGAGUCUGGUCCGUGUCUCAGUACCAGUGUGGGGGACCUUCCUCUCAGAACCCCUACGCAUCGUCGCCUUGGUGGGCCGUUACCCCGCCAACAAGCUAAUGCGACGCAUGACCAUCCGUAGCCGGAAUCGCUUCCUUUAAACCCACAGAGAUGCCUCCAUGGGUUGUUACGCGGUAUUAGACGGAAUUUCUUCCGCUUAUCCCCCUGCUACGGGCAGGUUUCAUACGUGUUACUCACCCGUGCGCCGGUCGCCGGG